AUUGAACGCUGGCGGCAGGCCUAACACAUGCAAGUCGAGCGAGCGGCGGACGGGUGAGUAAUGUCUGGGAAACUGCCUGAUGGAGGGGGAUAACUACUGGAAACGGUAGCUAAUACCGCAUACCAUCAGAUGUGCCCAGAUGGGAUUAGCUAGUAGGUGGGGUAACGGCUCACCUAGGCGACGAUCCCUAGCUGGUCUGAGAGGAUGACCAGCAACACUGGACCUGGGCCACGGUCCAGACGCCUACGGGAGGCAGCAGUGGGGAAUAUUGCACAACGGGCGCAACCCUGAUGCAGCCAUGCCGCGUGGUUGAAGAAGGCCUUCGGGUUGUAAAGCACUUUCAGCGGGGAGGCGUUACCCGCAGAAGAAGCACCGGCUAACUCCGUGCCAGCAGCCGCGGUAAUAC
rnacentral:rRNA from 1 species